CAGUAGCCGCGGUAAUACGGAGGGCGCGAGCGUUACCCGGAUUUACUGGGCGUAAAGGUCGUGUAGGCGGCCUGGGGCGUCCCAUGUGAAAGGCCACGGCUCAACCGUGGAGGAGCGUGGGAUACGCUCAGGCUAGAGGGUGGGAGAGGGUGGUGGAAUUCCCGGAGUAGCGGUGAAAUGCGCAGAUACCGGGAGGAACGCCGAUGGCGAAGGCAGCCACCUGGUCCACUCCUGACGCUGAGGCGCGAAAGCGUGGGGAGCAAACCGGAUUAGAUACCCGUGUAGUCCCUGUCUCUUAUAC
rnacentral:rRNA from 1 species